UACAGAGGGUGCGAGCGUUAAUCGGAAUUACUGGGCGUAAAGCGCACGCAGGUGGCUGAGUCAGUCGAUUGUGAAAGCCCUGGGCUUAACCUGGGAAUUGCAGUCGAUACUACUCAGCUAGAGUAUGGGAGAGGGCAGUGGAAUUCCCGGUGUAGCGGUGAAAUGCGUAGAUAUCGGGAGGAACAUCAGUGGCGAAGGCGGCUGCCUGGCCCAAUACUGACACUGAGGAGCGAAAGCCAGGGGAGCAAACGGG
rnacentral:rRNA from 1 species